rnacentral:rRNA from 1 species
GCCUAUGGCCACACCAGACUGAAUGUGCCCGAUCCCAUCUGAUCUUGGAAGCUAAGUAGUCCCAGGCCUGGCUAGUAGUUGGCA